rnacentral:misc_RNA from 1 species
CUGAAAUGCCAGGCACACCCAAGGUCAUUAAACUCUAUUAAUUUUGUAGUACUUUUGCUUUAUUGACUCGUGAACAUGAAAUGCUGCAUACAUUUAUUCUGUCAUUGACUUUGUGGUAGUCAAAACAUUCACAGCUUUCACACCGUGAUCAGGAUCAAACAUUUGUUCCAGACUCGAUGAGUUUUGGAGGUAACUUACGUCUUUUAGCCAUUUGUUGUUUCCUUGUGCAUAUUCUGCCUAGUCCUGCUGAUAUAUAUUUGAUUGGGAUAUCAGGGGAAAGGGCAGGCAGAAGGGACCAGAAACGCAAGGUAGAAAUCAAUUUUGUUUAUUUCCCCCACUAGUAAUAUUUUACUUCCUCCAAUCUACUUUGGUAUCUGAUAAUCCUGAAUAAUGUCAAGGGACCUGGAAGGUUAUCCGAGGCUCCAUUGUUGCCAGCUCAUAAGAGGCCCAGAAAAUUGAAGGCUUCUGAUCUAUGAGCAUCCCAUUUUUAGAAUGUCAAGUUGGUGCUACAUCCGAUGAAAGAGCCGGACUGGGAUUUAAUUGCAAGUUGGAGAAGUCUUAAUAGUAGGGAUGAAGGUAACCUUUUGUCAUAUCAGAAACUGUAAAAGCGUUUUCAUUAGUGGAUGCGAAGCGCGUAAUACUUGAGUUCUGUACAAAUGGUUUAUUUUUGGAGAGCUUAGGAGUUUCUUACUUAGUGAACUAAACAUUUUUAUGGAAAUGCAUCCCUUCUGAGAAUAGAAAUCAAUGACUU